GCUUCGUACACGCUUUCAUGCAUGUUUAUAGCUAGUGCAGUGUAGAGCAAACUGAUCCACCGGAGAAGAUAUUACCAUAACCUUAUGUAGCUUUUAGGACAAGGCCAAGGUUUCUGAGAUUAAAUAUCAAGAAUGACAACUUGUCUCGGUAGUCAUAUUAUAAUGAACUGUCAACACGAUAGGGAAAACAGUUCGUCCCAUUUUGUUAAGAAUCAACAAUUGUUUCAAGGAAACCAACUGGACUCUCAUUCAUCACCAACAAUGCAGACCGUAAGCAGAAGAUACCAAGACUCCAAUCAAGACGCAAAAGAUACCUUUGCAGUUAAAGGACUAAUAGCAUUAGUCAUGUGCAUAGUUUAUGCUUGUAUUUUGUUCUGUAUAGCGGCAAUAGUUUCAACUGUCUUCACUGUUGUUAAAAAUUCAGCUAAUUCAGUGUGUUUAAAGGUAUGGGAAACGGAAAGUACUAAAAACAUAGAAGUGCCGAGAUCCCUGAGAAACCCAACUCGUUAUGGUCAGAAGUGAAUGUUCUUUAUGUAUAAAAACCUAUAUUCUUUAUACUAAGUAAGGUGUGAGUGAACGGUUCGGCUGUGUCCAAAACAAAACAUAACUGAAGUUUAAUUUUCAAACGAACUUUUGAAAUUAAACUGGGAAAAGAGAUGUGACGGGGGAGAACGAGAUAAGAAACUCACCGCUCCAGUGUAAAAGGAGCUUUACUCAGGGAUCUGAUUCGUCAGUAUUGAUCUGUGAUAUAUCACCGAGAAUAAACAAUUCUAGUGAACUUUGUCAUCGGUGUUAUAAUUAUUAAUAUUUAUCAUAGUGCUUGCAUUAUCAUAUAAGAGGUCUCGUUUUUGGACCUUGUCUCGUGAAGAUUAAGAAUGUUGUGAGUAAAGUGGAUGUAUACAAUUGAUUGCAAAGAAGUACCAAAGAUAAUUUGUUGACGUAUUUCAGUGUUUUCAGCGUUGUUGUUUUUUUUUAAAAAUAAAAUAAUUAUAACGGGAUAAAGUUUAGUUAAUUAUCGUUAGAUAAUAUUUAUCUGCAAGUAUAGUGGUUGUCAUCUUUUAUCAUGCAUUAUGAUUAACAUUUUUUUUAUCAUGUAGGUAAUUUGAUGGUAGAUCUAUCAAAAUAUCUAAUAAAGUUGCUAUAUCACCUUCAUUUUAAAUGAACUGUUACUAGAUGUGUUUGCGUAAUUGUUUCAUUCUUUUUAUACUUAAACAUUUAUGCUUUAAAACAAGCAGCAUUGUUCACAGGUUUAAUAACUGUACAGUAUGCCGAUUUUCUGCCUCUAAAACAAUCUAACUGAUAUUAAAACGGUCGCAUGCAGCAAUUUUUUUGCAUAUAAAUUGUCUAGCCCUAAAUAUUGUUUAGCUAUGCGUGUUUGUGUGAUUGUUGAACAAGUGUUUGCACUAAAUUUGACCCCCAGUCAGUAAUAAAACAUGCUAUAGUACUUAUAGUUUUGGAUGUAUUAAUUCAUGUUCAUUGUCAGAAGGUCACUUAACUAGUCAAUAAGCCUUCAGGGAAGGAUAAAGUAACCAUUUUACUUUACAAAAACAGUUGUCGAAACACGAAAACAAUAUAGCAAAUAAAGUGAAUUUAUGUCAAGAUAAAAAUCCGUUGUUAUGGCAUUGGCAACAGUGUAUAUAUGCUUCAUUGAUAAUUAUUAUGAAUAUUUGGAGAAAAAAACCCCACCCCAUUGUAAUAUAAUAUUCUUAUGAGCUAUAUUACACUUUGCCUGCUUUUAUGAUAUUAUUAGCUUUGUUGUAUUAAAGUGAGAUUAUAUUUUUACAAUAAAAU